rnacentral:tRNA from 1 species
AAGUCAAUAAUUUAAAGGUAGAAUUUUUCACUCAUAAUGAAAUUGUUGUAGGUUCAACUCCUACUUGACUUA